UACAGAGGGUGCAAGCGUUGUUCGGAAUUAUUGGGCGUAAAGGGAGUGUAGGCGGUUAUUUAAGUCUUCUGUGAAAUCUACGGGCUUAGCCUGUAAAGUGCAGAGGAAACUGGGUGACUUGAGUGUCGGAGAGGAUAGGGGAAUACCCGGUGUAGAGGUGAAAUUCGUAGAGAUCGGGUGGAACACCAGUGGCGAAGGCGCCUGUCUGGCUGACAACUGACGCUGAGACUCGAAAGCAUGGGGAGCAAACAGG
rnacentral:rRNA from 1 species